UAGCAGUCGGGGCUGAGAUGCGGGGGCGGGGCCGGAGCGAGGCUGGGUAUCACCGGGAGUGGAGGAAGUGCGCCGGGUUCGGGGCGCGGGGACGGUGAUCCUGGGAGGACCUGCGCGGCGUGUGGGGCGGGGCACAGAUGCUCCCCGGCCUGGCUCCGAGGAGCUGAGAGCUGGAGGCGCGGCUGCUCUCUCGGGAGGACUUCAGCUCUGCGAACCCUGCGGCUGCCGGAGCACUGAGCGCCCUGCCCGGAGUCCUGCGGAGCCUGGCGAGGAGGGGUCGCUGCAUCCCGAGGGCCAGCCGUGAGCCGGGAGGUCGAACAGUGUUAACUUUGCUGGAAGGAACCUUACUCAGAGAGCCAAUCACCUGCUUCUCUAGAGUUCUCAAGCUCUCCUGUGAGCACCAGGUUGAGCCGCAGAAAGCCAGGACCAGCUCACUGAACUGAGAAAUGGACAUGAAGAUGCCCAGGUCUGCAGAUGGUUUCCAUCCUGAAAAGUGAUGGGCCAGAGGGGGACUGGCACGCGGUCAUUCAUUCAACGAUUAUGCUCCUACUCUAUGAAGUGUUGGGGAUACAGUGCUGAGCACAGACAGACCUAGUCUCGGUCCCUUGCAGCUUUCAGUGAAGGAGAGGAGGUAGACACUGAUGCGACAAGCACCCGAGUAAGUGUAAGACCAUGCAGUGAUAAAGGCCAUGGAGGAAGGGCCCAUGCAGGGGCGGAAAACAGAGGAAGGGGCUGGUGGAGCAGCUCCUCUAGCUCAAGGCUGAGUGGUAUAAACUGUAGCUACUGCAUGAUCUGAACGUGUCUUAAGGAGGGUAUCCCCAAAGCGGGCUCACUGGGAGGUACUGUGGAACGCUGGUUUAUUGUAAUUGCCAUGUGUUUAUAAGUAAUGGAAUCCUAGAGUUAGAAGGAACUUUGGUCACCUUCUAAUUCAAUAUUCAUCUUUCUCAAUCCAGGAAACAUCGCUACAGUAUCCCUAACUGGGGAUUGAUCCAUUCAUUUCCAGACACAGAGAACAGAGUCACAUUCUGCUGUUUCCAUAUGCAUUAUUUUAGUAAGACUUCUUGGGGCACAAGGCAGGAAGUGGGGGACAAUAUAUUUGUCUGCACCAAGGCAGCCUGAGAAGAGAGAAGUGAAUACUCCUGGGGGUAUUCUAUAUUAUUCACUUAAUAUUCUAAGUGAAUACUCUAGGGGCGCCUGAGACAUGGAGCUAUGAAAGUACACAUUCACAAAAGUACCAACUUUAAAACUAGAUUAUCUCACUAUUCAGGACCACCAAGGAAAGGCCACACAAUAGGGACAUAGUUCAUCUGAGAUCUAGCAAAUUUCCCUGUUGGCCACAUACUGAUAAUGAUGUAUUAAAAUCAAUUCUAUACCGUGGGGUACUUAUUUGACAUUAAUAGAUACUAUGGUGGUUUGACAUAGUUGCUGCCCAGAGAAAAAGCCGCACACUCACCUACACCAAAAUGAAGUCUGAGUCAGCUGCCUCCCCUCCCCCAUCCCUUCCAAAGUCAAUGGUUGAAAGUCACAGAAGUCCCUCUGCUGCUACCUAGUGACGACAAUGUGAAUACAACUACACAGCCUCCUGGGAAAGAAGUUUUGAACCACGUUUACUUCUUCUAAAGGAUGCCUGUAAUUACCUCCGAGUGCUCUAUUUUGACUACAAUUUAAAAACGUAUAUAUUUUAAAACUCUAUAAACUCUUAUGCAUAUCCCUUUUUAAGAAUCUGACUUGUAAUGGAUGUAGCCUCACUUUCAAGAACCUAAAAGCUAUGCCCCCAAUUCAGGGAGUAGAACAGACAGGCUUAACAGCAGUGCCUAAAAAUGCUGCUAAAUUUAUCUUUAAAAUGCCUGUGGUUCCUUAGCACUUGAAUUCCGUUAUGCCCCUGGGUAUAGUCACCUGGAUGUUAGGGGCUGUCAAAAUUCAGUCCUCAGGUGGUGAUCAGUAGGUUUUCCCUUUAAGUGGUUUCUGAAAGGAUUAAAAAAAAAAAUCUUGAAAUUCUGAUGUCUGGAUGAUGUUUCCAGUUUUGUGGAAGAAUAAAAGAAAAGGGACAUGAAAUUCUGGCUCCCUGGGGGCAGUGGCUGUGUCUUAUUAAUCUCUGUGCCCAUUGUACCAACACCGGUCAGUCACAGCAUGUACUCAACCAAUGCUGAUGAAUGCAGAGAGGCGAGGGGCUGGCACGCUCUUGACCCCUUAUAGGGGCUGCGUCGAUGGCCAGGGUUCAGUGGGAACUUUCUGGUACAGUCUCGCUCUGCCACUCUUUCAAAUUAAAUGCAGCACAAUUGGAAGCCUCACAUUCUCAUCCAUGGGUUGAGGAGGGCAUCAGGGGCAGAAAGGCUCACAUGAGCCCUGAGCAUGAGGUUUCCUGCCCAACACUGUUGUGCCAUUGCAGCCCACCUUCUUCUCACCUUUCCUUCCACACCACGCAUGGCAGGUGCAGAAACCAUGCUGGGAUUGAGGCCCUAGAGGCUGACUACAGGUCUUGGGGGCAAAACAUCUGGACACACAGCUGAAGAUGAGCCAAGUAUAUUAGUCAGAGUUCUCUAGAGGAACAGAACCAACAAGAUAGAGAGAUGCAGAGAGAGAGAGAGACAGACAGACAGACAGACAGAUUUAAGUAACUGACCCAUAAAAUCUUGGGGGCUUGGCAAGUCCAAAAUCUGCAAGAUGGAAGUGGGCUGGCACAUUGGAGACUCAAGGAAGAGUUGCAGGUUGAGUUCAAAGGCCAGCUGCUGGCAGAAUUCCUUUCUGCUCAGGUGAAGUCGGUCUCUAUUCUAUUAAGACCUUCAACUGAUUGGAUGAGGCCCACCCAUACUAUGACGCGUCAUUUGCUUUACUCAACAUCUACUCAUGUAAAUAUUAAUCUCAUUGAAAAAAACCCCAGAAACAUCCAGAAUACCAUUUGACCAAAUGUUGGGACAAUGCAGCCUAGCCACAUUAACACAGAAAAUUAACUGUCACAGCAAGACACCAGGGAAGCAUUGGAAGAUGUUAGCGGCUGUCAUUGAAAUGAGUGCCCUCAGGUGGACGGCAGCCAUCCAUCGGGCAAGAGCGGGGCAACUGGAAGGGCCCUCCCCUCCCGUUUGCUUUCUGCUCUUCACAGCUCAUGGAUAGAGGAAUUUUCUCAGCACUUUUCCCAGGAGGAUUUUGGCACCACCAUUUCUUGAAAACAGAUGUCUGCAGGGAUGUGUGUGUGUGCCUGUGAAUAUGAAGUCCAGAUCCUGGGACUGAGAACAGCAAGGGGAACAGGUGGCCACGGGGGAGUUUGCAGAUUGCCAACUUAGGAUGUGCUCCCAGGGCUGCGCUGGUGUUGGUCGUGAGAGCGAUCAUGGUUUGUGCAACGUCUGAACUUUCUGUCACCUUAUGGUUUAAUCAAUUUGCUGUUUACUUCAGCUAUUUGUAACCUCUCCUCAGUUACUUGGCGUUCAGCAGUGUAAUAUAUCUUCAUGUGUGAAUAUAAAUAUACUAUUUAGUGGAAACUAAAA